rnacentral:rRNA from 1 species
UACGUAGGGUGCGAGCGUUGUCCGGAAUUACUGGGCGUAAAGAGCUCGUAGGUGGUUUGUCGCGUUGUUCGUGAAAACUCACAGCUCAACUGUGGGCGUGCGGGCGAUACGGGCAGACUGGAGUACUGCAGGGGAGACUGGAAUUCCUGGUGUAGCGGUGGAAUGCGCAGAUAUCAGGAGGAACACCGGUGGCGAAGGCAGCUCGCUGGAACGGUACUGACGCUGAGGCGCGAAAGCGUGGGGAGCAAACAGG